rnacentral:rRNA from 1 species
GACGAACGCUGGCGGCGUGCCUAAUACAUGCAAGUCGAACGCUGAAGGAGGAGCUUGCUUCUCCGGAUGAGUUGCGAACGGGUGAGUAACGCGUAGGUAACCUGCCUGGUAGCGGGGGAUAACUAUUGGAAACGAUAGCUAAUACCGCAUAAGAGUAGAUGUUGCAUGACAUUUGCUUAAAAGGUGCAAUUGCAUCACUACCAGAUGGACCUGCGUUGUAUUAGCUAGUUGGUGAGGUAACGGCUCACCAAGGCGACGAUACAUAGCCGACCUGAGAGGGUGAUCGGCCACACUGGGACUGAGACACGGCCCAGACUCCUACGGGAGGCAGCAGUAGGGAAUCUUCGGCCAUGGACGGAAGUCUGACCGAGCAACGCCGCGUGAGUGAAGAAGGGUUUCGGAUCGUAAAGCUCUGUUGUAAGAGAAGAACGAGUGUGAGAGUGGAAAGUUCACACUGUGACGGUAUCUUACCAGAAAGGGACGGCUAACUACGUG